rnacentral:lncRNA from 1 species
CAGUACCACAACAUAAAAAAAAAGAUAAUAUUUUUGCAUUCAUCCAUUUGAACAUAGUUUCGAUAACUCAUAGUGCUCAAAAUAAACAGUUUAAAUUACAAAUGUAUUGAGGCAGACUUGUCUCAUCUCGCGUGCUGCUACAUAAACAAAGUUAGGACUCGUAAUUGUUCAAUCAUUGUUCAUUUGGACAUAAAGUAUUUUAGGAAGAUUAAUCAUCGGCAAUUGUUCAAGCAGUGAAGCAGCUUCAGGGCAGAAGAAAAAUACUCCCUCCGUAAGAUCUGACUCAAAGUUUUGACAAUCUUUGGAGUAGCUUCCUGUGCAAAUAAUAGAUUACAAUGUCACAAUCUGAUAUCACAAUUUAUCGUACCACAAAACCGUAUGGCAAACAUGAACAGAGAUGUAUGCAUUUUACAAUACAGAAGAUUCAAAUCAUUCUCCCCAUGUUUUUAGUAGAAAUCUUAUCUCUAUCAUGUUUACAUACUCUUUGGAAACAAAGAAGAAACUCAAGCCUUACAGUGAGUUAAACUGUAGAAGGGACAUGAUUCAAACAAGCAUCUGGCAAAAUUAUGAAUGUGCUGGGAAACUAGUAUAAGAAAUGUUUAAGGCAUUUCAAAACGUACAGGAUUCAAACAAGCAUCUGGCAAGACCAAUCCAGCCUUCAGGAGGGUUAACAGAGAAACAUUUUCAAAGGCACGAGAUCAAGCAAGCAUGUACCGAGACCAUUUUCUUUCUUUUCAACCACCAUAUAUAUUGAGAUUCUUAAAACAGCCACUUCCAUGAGAAUGCUAGCUCAAUAUCCUCAAGCAGGUCAUAACCCGAGAUAACCUUCCUGCCUCCAAAACAAGUAUCAUAUAUAGCAUGAUUAUGGUACUGCCUCUCCAAAGCAGCCAUCCCAGAAGUACAUGGAACAACAAUACUCCCCCUCUAUAGACACAUGUUCGACUCAUCACGCUCAACUAUCUUCGGUGGAAAUGAACCCCUCCGCCAACUCUCCCGGCUCCAGAAAGGUAAGUCCCCAUUGCCAUAACCAAAACUACCAUCAAAGCUCAUCCUUUCCCACUAUACAUGCUCACACAUAGAAGAACACAAACACACAACAAAAGGAGUACCCACAGGCGCCCCUUAUAUAGCAACACAACCCACAAAAAAACAUAGCAAGCCUCCCACGUCAUACAUAUAGCUGCACGAAACUCUCCACGUACAAAUCGCACAGACAACUCACCUACCCACACUAUACCUACAUCAAGAUAUACUAUUACAAACAACCAAAACACACAAGAAACCAACCAUACAUGAACACACCUGUGACCAAAAUGAAAAAAAAAUGCCAAUACAAUGUUCGUAUCUACACAGGCCACCACCUAAGGUACUUGCUACAGAACAAACACCAAUACAUAUAGGCAUGCACAGCUAGAACGAGAAAAAUACAACAUAAGCAAUUAAGCCAAGACCCUACGAGCUCCAAAACACAAAGAUGUCCUUACUAAUAACUCCACCACAAAACAAUAUAAAAAACACUUAUCACCUCAUUCACUGUCAAAAAACCUCAACGACGGGCGGGACAUUAUAACACCAAUAGUGAUCAUUUCGGCCAAGUAGUAGUAUUUCAAUAUAACCCAGGAUGCCAACUCAACGGAAAAUAAAAGAAGAAGAAGAAGAAUACAAC